AAAGCAAAAGAGAAAACAGUAAGUCUGUGGGUGGAAAAGGAGAUGACCUGAGAGGUACAAUGUUCCAUGAAGUGCCAGGAGGACACAAAGCCUGAGAGAGAAAUGAAUGAGGAUGAAGUAAUCUGGAAGGCUUCUUGGAGGGGAUGGCCUUUACUCUAGGUCUUGAAAGGUGGAAAUGAGGACAUAUGACAAGCAAUGAGGACAGCUCAUAGACACUUCAAGGUUGAAGGUAAUCCCCACUUCCCUAGCCAACCCCACGGCUCAAAGACCAGCUGGAGAGAAUGAAACUUUGCCCAAGGAACACACCCACCAGGCUGUAUAGGGUAAUUCAGGUGGGGUUCCACAGGAGCAAGGCAUGUGCUGUGGACCAGGCACACCACAGGCUCUGCCCUGCGCCUCUGGGUGGUUACAUAACCCCCACUGCUCUGGCUCCACAGCCAGCUGGGACCUUCCACCUCCUCUGCCUCUCCUGUCAUCUGCCAUCUGUCUCUGCAGCUUCCUUCAUAUAGAAGAGGCCGCUGUGCAGCCGAAAACGAAGGCCAGCCCUGUGGUAAAUUCCCCACAUUCCUUCCACACAGAAAAAUAAAUAACCCAGGAGGAAAAGCGCAGGAGGAAUGAUGAUGACGGCCCAAACACGCUGGAGUGCAGGCUCACAUGCUGGGAUAAACAGCAUGGGCCAGGAGCCCUUCCCGGGACGACACACCUAUUAGCUGCUGCUUCUCCCAGGGGGCACAGAGCCAACCUGGAACUCUGGGAGGACAGACCUGCUCACAUCUGCCAAAGAAGGUGCUAGAAUCUCUCAGUGGUGGCUGUGGGUAGUGGUCACCAUGGUGAACUUGCCAGGGGCGGGGCACACUUGUUUUCACUGCUCAAGGGGCUACUUAUUCGGCACAUCAAUGUGCAAUGAGCUCCUCCUGGAAGUAUUAUCAUUUUUGUGUUUUAUUUUAUCUACACAAGCUGGGAGGAUAAGGAAGGUCCCUUAUCUCCACUUUACAGAUGAGGAAACUGAGGCUCAGAAAGGGGAUUCGCCAAGGUAUUGGCCAGUGAGUGAACUGCAGGUUCCAGGGCCUGCCCCCCACUCCCAUAUCCAUUCAGCUUGCUCUUCCCCCAGGCAGCCUUCCUUCACCAAACCCACCCUAAGGUGCAGCCUGUUCGCCUCCUGUCCACUGCUCAGCAGGGCACCCCAUUCAGUCACAUUUAGUAAAUCGCUUCCCUUUUCUGAGUUUCAGCUUCCUCACUAGUAAAACCAGGAUGUAAAACACAGCUGAGCAAAUAAGAUGCAGAACAGUAUCAAGCAAAAAACACUGCACAUACCUGAAGGGGGUUUUAUCUUUGGCCCAUUGACAUCUCUGUGUGACUUAAAAGGCUGGGCUCUAACUGUUUCUCUCCAUCUCUCCCUCUGUUCACCAGUCCCCUCUGGGCCUCACACUUCUGCCCACAGUCAAACACAGUCCAACCCCAAUCCCAACCCCACUGCCACAGCACCCCUACCUCUAGCCACUGUGCUGCAGCAGAGAAUGGAUUUGAAUCCUACGCCCCCUAACUGAAGAUCCAAGGCUUCUAGGACGGAAAGCAACCCAUGCUGGCUGUGCAGCCAGAAGGGCACCACGGCUGUGGGGUCCUGGAGGCUCUGACCCCGCUGUGUCUCCCAGACUGCCAUACAGCAAUUAUCUGGCACGGCUGGUCCCCUCCAGCAGGAGAAGUCUCCUGCCAGAAGAGAGGCUGAGUCAUCCAGUCCUGCCCUCCCUGUUUCCCUCAAACCACUAAAGAAGCCUGGAGGUCAGGAAAUUUGGCUCCAGUAUCUGACCUGUCACAAUUUGAAUAGCAUUAGGCUAUUCUCUGAACCUCUUUGGGCCUCAGUUUACCCAUCUGUUCAACGAGGGGAUUGGAUUGACCAAUGGGUCCCAGAGUAUGGUGCUCUCCCGCCUCUAGUGAAAGCAAAAGGAUUUCAGGUGGCACCCUAAUAUUUAACAUCUUAAAAAGUUACAUAACUUUCAAAUGUGAAACCUGUGAUCUGGAGGAUAUUACUGCUUAGGGAGAGGCUAGAGUGGAUAUUUCAGUAACAAAAUGAGACAAUUUAAAGAAAAUAAGUAUAAAUGGUACAUGGAGUCAUUCAUUUAGCCAAUAUUCAUUGCACACCAAUUAAGGGCCAGGCACUGUUCACAGCCAUGAAGAAAAGAAGACGAAAACCUCUUUUUUGCAUGCUAAUAGGAAGCAAAAGGAAUAAACAUACAUAUAAAUCAGAGAGUAAAUGUUAUGGAGAAAAAUUAAACAGGCACAGGAGAUAUGAAAUACAUGGGGCAGGGAGUGGUUUGGUAAGGUAAAUAUGGUAACCAAAAUUGUCUGCAGUGAGAAGGCAUAUCUGAGUGAAGAAAUGAAGAAGAUGAGGGAGUGAGGCAUAGGACUGUGUAAGGAAGAGUGGCCUGGCAAAGGAGCAGCUAGUACUAAGGUCCUGUACUUAUCAGGUUUGAGGAUUCUUUCUCUCUCUCUCUCUCUCUCUCUCUCUCUCUCUCUCUCUCUCUCUCUCUCUCUCACACACACACACACACACACACACACACGAUGCUGGAGAGACCCCAGCUGGUAGCAGCACAUCCUCCUCUGCACACAUACCCACGCACAGAAGCACUGCCUGCUUCAAACCUGUGUAACACAUGACAGGCCAUGCCCAGGCACGCAUGCACUCCAUAGAGAGCUCGGGAGAGUAUGUGACAUGGAGCAUCUGCAGGUGUCCAUAUGAUGCUCAUGUGACAGGCUGGCAUGUAUGUACCUGCAUCAGAUACACCUUGUGGGAGGGUGUCUGUCUCAGGUAACUUCGUUAGUAGGUAGCGCUUCAGCUUGAGAGCACCUGUUACCGCAGAAUGGUAAGUGCCCCGAUGGUCUGUUUCAAAUCCAUGUCUCCAGUAUCUCUGUAUUCAUAGUCUCCCUUUUUCAGAGGUACAUUAAAAUCUACCACCUGAUACUCAAGUGUCCCAGGGGAUCAUGUGUGGCGAAUGUCCCAUUUUCCUACAGCAACUAAAUGGCAUACGCCAGGUUAAAAUACCCGGGUCAGCACUGGACAAGCUAGCAGCUUCAAGCAGCAUUGCCAUUCAUCAUCAUCGUCAUUCCAGCUCCAUUCCUUUAGGGUGCUUGGGGAUAGCUGAAGAGUAGGAAAAAAGGACCAGACUGUGAGCAGGAGGCCUGAGUUAAGGCCACAGCCUGGUAUCUAUUCCAUGUGGGACCUCACACAAAUCCCUUCCCCUCUCCUGCCCACAUCAGAAACUUACAGGUGCCCCAGAAUCCUUGAGGGAAUGUGUUCAAUAUGCAAAUUCCUGGGUUCCGCCCUAGAAACCCAUGGGGUCACAAAAUACGCAUAGGCUUCCUUAGGAGGUCUGAGGCACAGACUGGGACCCACUGGCCUUUGCAGCACCUGAUCAUAUACAUAUGUUCAUAGUGAGCACAUAGGAAAGUGUUUGGGAUGUGGUCUGGCAACUAGCAAGGCUCCAUAAUGUUGACAAUACACAUGUAAUAAGAUAAAUUUAUCUGCACAAUUACAUAUAGUAAUUACAAACCAUCCUUGGAAUAUGCACAACACUUUUGUAGUUUUUCUGGCACUUUUCUUUAUCAGAAAUAGAGGUAGAAUGGGAUUUUCAUGCCAUUUUACAGUCUAGAAAAUGGAAGUAGAUAAAUGCCGGAGGACCUGCCCAGGAUCUCACAGCACACAGGUCUUUGGCUGCCAGCCAGAGACCUCGGCCCAGCUUUGUGAGAUGUGCCACCUCAGGACGUGAUCCACUCACCCCCAUAUGAUUCCCAACCCACAGGGUAAGUGACUUUCAUUCUAGGUUCAUGAAAGCUCUUGACACUUAUGACUUCCUCAGCAUCUCAGGAUUAAGAAUAGACAACCUCAAUCAUUUAACUUCCUUCCAGCAUAAGGUUCCCCCCUGCUGCCACUAAGCAGUGCAGGGGAUCCCCAAGGGGCCCUAGUGCUACCUGCUACCAUUUCAUCUAAAAUGGUCAUUUGAUCUAGCCAAUCAGAAUUUAAUCUGGUCAUGAGCUAUUGUGACUUUUAGCAAGCCUUGUAUCUGCUGAAUCUCAUUUCCUCCUCUGUAAGAGUCUCCCGAUUCCUACCCUGCUGGUUUGUUGCACUGAUCAGCUCACACAUGCAAGGGAGACAGCAUCGGGUGCUGAUGGGGCACCAUGACUCUCUGGUAAUGUGUGAGCUUUGGGAAGGGAAGAACCUUGCUUCACAUGUGUUCAACAGAUAUGUCCUGAAUGAAGGAAAAAAUGAAAUGAUUUCACCAAAGCAACUUUCUCCUGCCAGGAUGGCAGGGCCAGCGGGAUGGGCUAUGAAUACGGGGAACUUGCUCUCUGCUCUGCACAUAGUAGACGUGCUUGCCAUGGCAGUGAGGAAGGCCACACUAGGAGGGCUAUAUCCCAGAUCCCUGAAUGUAAUCCUGUUGACUCAGAGGCAUAAAUAAUGCACUGGUAGUUCUCUCCUCACCAUACUGUCAUGCUAAGAAUAGCAGUGGCUACUGUUUCAAAGAUUCCAAAAGGAAGCGGACAGGACACCCAAUGGAGAUAAUCAGUAAAGAUGUCAUUGAGCUGUGACCUGUCAGGAACCUCCCUGCAAGCCCACAUUUCCAAACUCCUAAGACAGAGGACCCUGAAUGACAAAGCAGAAAGACUCUUAGAGGCCACCUGGCCAGGAGUUCUCCCGGAGUAAGGUAGAGGCUGGGGAACAUCCGCCUCCCACCGGUCUGUAUUUUCUCCUUCUCUCCUGAUGCCCACGCUAACAAUGCCUGUGCCUCUAACUCGCCCCUCCACACUCCUGGGAUGGGUCCCGCUUAUGUAUUUUACACGGAAAACUUUGGAGCAAGAAGAUUCUAUGGGUCUUAAUUACUUUUUUUUAAGUUUAAAAAUGGCUGACAGUGGACUGUUAGUAGUGUCUUCCUAUGGGAAGGCAGGAACAGGAGGAUCACAGUACAGGCAGGUCAGGGUAAAAUUAGUGAGACUAUCUGAAAAAUAAAGCAAAAAAUGACUGGGGGCAUGGCUUAAGUGUUACAGCACCUGCCUAGUAAGCAAAGACCUGAGUUCAAACCCCACUACCACAAAAAAAUAAAAAGCAGACUUAGAAGAGUGCUUCUCAUACUUUAAAAUAUAUAGGGAUCACUACCCAGGGCAGUGGUUAAAAUGCACAUUCUGAUUCAGGAGGGUGGGGCGGGGCCUGAGAUUUCACAUUUCUAGCAAGUUUCCCAAUGACAAUGGCACUGUAUCCACAGGUCAUACUUUAAGUACAGAAAAACUGGCAUAUUUCCUAUUACUCAGAUGGAGAACACGACGUCCAAAGAAAAGGGAUGUGCCCUUUCCUUAGCUCAGAAUGUAAGUGUGGACUACCAUCCCAUGGCUUUGCCCUCAGAGGGCUUUGAGUGACUGCAGAUAAAACAAGUAAGAUGCAAACACAACGAUGGGCAGAGGAAGAGGUGACCCCCGGUGCUCUGCACACAGUCAUCCAUGAGGAGGCUGGAGUGUGGAGGGCCACUGAUAGCACUAUCAGGAUAGGCAACCAAGGGAGAGAAGAAAGGAAGCACGGCCAGCCUCCUGAUCACUGCCAGUGAUGUUUGUCCUUCCCCGCAAGUGCUGUAAAGUUCUUUGGGUCUCCAGGCUAGCUCUACUCCCCUGGGGUGCCCCACCCUCUUAUACUCCACCACAUUGGCCCACCUUCACAUGCUCAGACAAGGUGUCAAGCACUUUCUCACCUCAGGGCCUUUGCACUGGCUGUUCCUUUUGGUUAGUCUUCCUUCCUUUACCCCCUCAGCUGAGAUUUUCUGACCACACUUCUCAUUCUUUGGAUCUAUUUACAGGUCUCAAGGAGGCUCCUCUGUCCUCAGAGGUCACAUUCCCCAGCCACAGCACCCUCAGCGUCUCCUCCAAACUCAUUAGAUUUGUAAUUCCACCAGUGUUUGUUUUAAUAUCAGGCUGCUCUGUCCUCUCAAGGCAGGGACCUUGGCCAUGACCCUGCCCCCAUGCCUAGACUAUAACUGGGGAUCAACAAAGACUUGUUGACUGAAAGAGAUGCAUAAACGCUGCUCACAUCCCCACUGCAAAACUUCUCCACGGCUCCAUGUGACCUCGUCAAGACCACAGAAGUCGCAAGACUGAGAUUUUCAAGAUUAUUUGGGUCAGGACUCUGUUCUGCAAUUCCCCAGCUGAGCAGCCUUCAAAGGUCACGUCACCUCUCUGAGUGGGGUCUCAGCACUGCUCAUCAGGUCCCAAUGAAAGAAGGAACCUGGGAAAGGCUUUGAAAGCUGCAAAGAGCUUUCACUGAUAUUACCAGUCCAACAAUGCUUGACGCCCAGAGAGGGACAGAGCCUCGCUCAAGGCCACACAGCCAGUGUGUGAUGAUGCCAGACCUCCCGGGCACAGCUUGAAGCCAACAGCUGAGCUUCAGGCCCACCCAAGCUCAAUGAGAGCACCAUCUGCCUAGAGGCUGGGCAAGAGAGGGGGAGGCAGAGAAGAGGGUGGCUGGGGAGCACUCAGACUCAGGCACAGAGCCAGAGUGUGGGGGUGGGGGUGGAGCCCCCAGCAGGGGACUUGAGUGGGGGCUGGCAGCUGGGCACAGGGGAGCCAACUGGCUCAGGCUGGGUGGCAUGCUUGUUCCCCAUGCGCGUGACAGUCUAUUUUUUAAUCAGUCCUCUCUCCUCCCCCAACUCCAUGUGUCCUCCCAAAGGGCCCUAUAUCAGCAGUCUUGUCCUGGUCAGGCCAGGGCCACCUUUGGGAUGGAUGGAAGGGUACUCUAAGUCCCAUCUCUUCAUGGAGCCCCAAGGAUAAACAGCCCAGAAGGCAGGACAGAAGGCUCAGGGAUGAAGGGCUACCCCCUGUCUAUAUGAGCUGGGGCUGGUAUCUAGAAUCUCUGGCCUCAGUUUCCUUUAUCUGUACAAUGAUGGGGGCAUGCUAGACUUUAUGGGAGUAUUACAACUCAGUCACUUGGCAUCCACUCAAGUUCUACAACAUUAACAAUGCUCACUCAUGAGGCCCUGGCAGGGCCUCCCAUGUCCAUGGUGCCCACAGGGCACACUUAAUCCUCCCUGACCUACUCCCAGGGAAGAGGGAAAGGGAAGAAAAGACUCUGAGCUGGUUCAAAUGCUGAUCUCAGAGCCCUAGAUCACAGACUUUGUCAGGUUCCUCCUUCCAAGACCAGAGGGACAGAGAUGGUGAGAAUCAAACAGAAAUAUUGUGUGUUCUUGAGUAAGUGGCUUGGCCUCUCUGAGCCUCUGGCACACCAUCUAAAGCAAAAAAGACUGCUAUGCAGUAGAGAAGUUCACAGUCUUUGGACCCCACUGUCUGGGUUUGCAUCUUGGCACUUAUCUAAAGCUGUGUGACCUUGGGAGCUCACUUAACCAAUCACUUUGUGCCUCAGUUUCCCAUCUAUAAAAUGGGUGAUAAUAACAGGACUUAUCCAAUACAUAUGUUGACAUGUAAAGAACUCAGAACACUCAGGGCACAAAGUAGAAACAAUAAAUUAUCAAGCACUCUAAGUCUUGAAGUCAUUUUAUUCUAGAAGAUUACAUGCAAGGGUCUCAGCUCACUGUUCUAUCCAUGGGCUCAUUUAGUUGCCCCUUCCUCUACCUUUGACACCAUAGGACCAAAUGUUUUGGGGGUCUGUUAGCUCUUUCACAUCCAUGAGCAUCUCAGAUCCUUACUGCCCAUUUCGUAGCAGUUCAGAAUGGAAGCAAAUGAUUUGUCCAAGACCUGAAGCUUAGUCCAGGGCCCUUCCCACUGAGUCUGUCCCCCUCCUUCCACAAUCAAAACCUGCUCCUGACCAAGAACCAAAAAAUAAUUCACACAGAGAUAUGAGGAGUCUUGGGAGAGAAGCCAUCUCCUCAACAGCUUGCUAUUUUAACAAAGCUUGCUAAUAAGUAGUGUUUCAUUUUUUAAGCAUCAAUUCAUUUCAUUUUCGUACAAUACAAGGGUUAUUAUUGCCUCUAUUUUAUAGAUGAGGGGGAAAAAGUCCAGAGAGGUUACAUAAUAUGUGGUAAGAUCUCCCAGCCAGCCAGGAGUAGAGUCAGCCAGGAUCCAACCACAGCAUCUGUGUGGGAACUGUGCAGGAAGCAGGUGACACAGAGGUAAACUGACUUUUGCUCCGCCUGCACUGCCCAGAGAGGCAGGGCCCAAUCAGCACAGUUGCACACCAGCCUGCCUCACCAAGUGGAAAAGAUGAAGCCAGUAUGGUGGAAUGUCAGGCAGCAGCCAGUUGGUAAAGACUUCAUUCCAAAGAGAGGGCUUUUUGUAAGCCUCUGGAAUUGCAGGGCCUAGGGGCUGGUGGCAUGUUGACUCCUCCUCUGGCCACACUGAGUAGCAAUUGAGCCCCAAUGUCCAGGGACCGUUCACAAAGGGCUCUAUACACACACACACUCAGGCAGGCCCAGCUUUCCCUCUGACCAGAUCUCAGGACCUUUGUUUAAACCCUCCUAGCGGUGGGGGAACUGCAACCUACAACCAACACCCCCUCCCAUGCCCCAGUGUGGACCAUUUACCAUCUUCUGGAACACCAUUCCAACCAAACCUCUCCCAUUCCUCUGGGCCGUGUUCUGCUCAUACCUCCUCCAGGAAGCCCUGACCACCCUUUAAAUAACAUUCAAAUUCUUCUCCACCGUUGCCACCUGAGAGAGAAUGUCCCUAGCCACCCAGAGUAGCCCCUCUAGUUGCUCUCCAUCUUCACAGGGUUCAUUUUUUUUCAUGCUACCUUUACGGAUCUGAAAUUAGCUCACUGAUUUCUUUGUUUUCUGUUUUCUUGUUUUAUCCCCUCAAUUAAAAUGCAAGCUCCUUGAGGGCAGGGACAUGGCUGUCCUGUUUACUACUAUAACCCUAGUUUCUAAGCACCCAUCCCACCCCACUGCUAGCUAGGGACACACAAGUCCCAAAAGGGUAAAGAAUUCACCCAAGGUAACGCAGCAAGCUAGCAGGUGGCAGAGGUCAGCCUAGCAUUGCAGUGUAGACACUUGGCCUGUCCCUGUACUCUCUCAUUUACCCUUUGGUGGUCUGUCUUGCCCUUGCUUCCUCAUUACAUUGGGCCAGAGUCUGCAGUUCUUUGCCAGCAGUGUCCCUCCACUUCCCUAGGGGUCCACAGUGCCCCAAUCUGGGCACUGUGAUCCUUACUGCCCAUUUCACUGCCCUGUCUGCUUCCCCUCAGUCCCUCCCUUCCUGGCAUCAGUAGCUCUGAUGAGCUCAUGUCUGGAAGCCUAGGAGCUGCCCUGAAGGAAAAGGUGCCUCCCAGGCCAGGCCCCUGGGCCUGGGAGGUGGGUUCAGCUUUGUGGAAGGAUAGCCCUGGCAGGGGGAGUAAGUGAACUGACCCCAGCCUGGCCUACCAUCUGAAGCUGUAAGGUAGGACCCUAGAGAUGGAACAACUAGGGGUAGAGGGGAGAUAGACAAAAGCCCUACUUCUCCCCUCCUUCCAGAUGUUCCAUGGCCACCUGUGCCCCUCCCACAUAUCAAGGAGUCACUCUUUCCCUGGGAGAGAGGGCUCUGCUGCCUUCUACCCAUAGAACCACCCCGAGCAAACCUCUUUCCCUUGUUGGUCUCAUCAGUCUUCAUAACUCGAAAAUCGGAGAUUAAAUACUGACUGAAGAGGCAAGCCAGGAACCAGGCACCUGAAUGCCACAGGUUUGGGGGUUUUUUUUGUUUUGUUUUGUUUUGUUUUUUCACCUCAGUGGAAGAGUAUAGAAGGGCAAGGACUGAGAAGGAAGGGAAAGAGUUAAAGGCCUUCUCUUAACCAUGUAAACGCAGAUCCAAUCACACUUUAAUGUAAAUGCUAAACUAAGAGGGGAGUUGGAGGGCUGGCCUAUGACUUGUGAAGUGGGACAGGUCUGAAAAGUGGGGUCUGUAAGACGGUAAGCACAGGAGUUCUUCAAAUAUUAAACUUGAAUGAUCCUAGUCCAUCUUCUCAUGCAAAUAGAGAAACUGAGGAACAGAGAAAGAGAGGAACCAGCCCAAGAUUUCAUGUGGAGACCAAGACAGGGGAUGCCCCUACCAAGCAAGCAGGGCAUUUUCAGUCCUGUGAGGGAGAUCUCAUCGUACCACCGGAGGCAAUAUGGUAAGUGGCAGGGGGUUUCAGUUUGUGGAUCUGCUCCCCAACAUGGGCUGGGGUCCAGUCCUGAGGUCAGUGACAGGACAGGCCACUGCCAGUAGGAUUCCAGUCUCUUGUCCCACUGUACCCCUGGCCCUUUGAUUAGCAUCCUUAUCCCACCCUCCAGUUUCCAAAGCAACAGGAGUUGCACCCUCUGACUGUCCUUAGGACCACCACCAGCACUGCUGCCUCCAGGGUGUUACCCAUUCAGGGCCCACCCUGCCAUCCUCUCACAGGGCAGCCAAAGAGCAGGGCGCUUGUGCCAAGAUCACUCAGCAAGGUGCUACCUGCCACUCAGAUUAGGGUGGGAAUGGGGAGCCCGACACAUACUGCUUUCCCACUCAGCUCUUGUUCUUUCUAGAAAACCCAGACACAGAGCACAGGGGUCCCUGCUCCCAUCCAGAAUAAGCCCAUAACUUGGGGUGGUAUUGGGGGAGGAAGGGAGACCUUUCCCCAGAUUCUUGCCAGGGCCCUGGAUAGAGUCCCCCACCCCCACUCAGCAGUGUAGUGGUUGGAAAUGAGCCCCACCCUCCACUCCACUUUGAGCCCGUUUUGGGAGCAAAAGGUUCAAUAGUUGGGGUGUUGUGAGCAUUUGAUACAGAAAACUUAGGAGUUUCCCUCUCCCCUAAGGCACUCAGGAAAGGCCUUGAUUUCCCCACUGGUGCUUGGGCCUGGUGAUCCCAGCGGUGUGGUGGUUUGGAUACCUGAGCACUGGCCCUUGCAGCCAGACCCUGGUGUCCCGUCGCCCCACCCGCGGGAGGUGGGGACACAGGCCCAGCACAGGCUGUUCUGCUUCCCCCACAGGCGCCCAUGUGGGUCCACCCGGACAGAGCCCCACCCGCCGGUUCUUGAAUCAAGCCAGCCAGACAUUCCCAGAGCCGCCUGGUGGGCGCAGACCCCAGGCUGUUGCCCAUCCUUGGGCCUCGGGACAGCCUCGCCUCCGGAUCUGCUUGCGGAGAGAGGCGCGAGGGCUGGAUCGUCAGCCCUCGCGCUAGUCCUGGACACUAGCUUUCCUUGCUCACCGCGUCCUCCCGCUCCAGAGAAGCUGGAGAGUCCCGGGAUCCCACCAGCCUCCGCUGUACAGAUGGGGAAACUGAGGCCCAGGGUGUAGAUGCAUCUUGGCCAAGGUCACCCUGCAUGGGGGAACUGGAGCCCAGAUGUGCCACUCUUCCAGGGUGGUGCCAGCAACUGCGCAGAUCAAAAAGAAAGAAAGAAAACACAAAACUCACCAGGGGAACUUGCCAGGGCUUGGCUAGUCCAGACCCACAACCCUGCCUCCUGACCCCCAGCUGUGGCCUGUGUGAAGGGAGACAACAGAUGUCUGGGGCCUCUGGCUCUGUGGCACCUAUGUUUGGACUGACUCUGAGGUGAAGGCUCCUCAUUGCUGCUGCCCAGCUCCCUGUGUGACCCAAGCCUGGGAGGGAACUGAGUCCACAGGGGUGAUCAGGGCCUGGAGAGAAUUCUUUAAGGAGCAGAGUGGGAGGGAAGGCUGGUAAGAUGCCAGCAGGGGUGUCAGUGACGCCUGCAGAGAAAUGAAGUGUUCCUUCAGUUUCCUGACGCACAAGCCCUCCCAGAACUGUCCCCCGCACGCCUUGCUGGCAGCAGCUCCUGCCUGCACCAAGCAUGGCCCGACUCACGUCCUCCCCAUCUGGACCCACUUCAGCGUUUCCAUGGGCCUGUGCGGAGGUGAUUCAGUGUGGGUUUCCCUGCCCCGCCCUGCUCUGCAGACUCACGCGCCUGCAGGGAAAAUGAUCCUCCAUCCUUCCUUCCUACCAUGCCAUGCCGCACACGGAGUUCUCCCCACACGCUGUCAUUGGAUCCCACUGCAGCCCAGGCCCUCCUCACUGCUGCUCUCUUCAGCCUCCAGAGCCAGACACCUGUAGUUGCCAUCAGGGAUCUGGAAGGUGCAGGGGGCAGACCUCCCUUCGCUGGGCCCGAGGGUUGGUUGUGGAAAAUGAGGACCCAGCAUGAUGCUUCUGUACUUGGAGAUUCUGAGGAAUGGCACCUGGCCUACUGUGUGACCUGCAAAUACUGCUCUCUAUUCCUCUCGAGGAUCUUCUCUGGUUCUCUGCAGAUCCACCUUCCUCUGCUGAUUCACAGAGUUGGAGUGAGGUUUGACUGAGUGUAAGAUAAGUCCUUCCUGUGCUGGGUGAAGUGGUGGGCCCUCAACACCUCCUUCGUAACCCUUCUUGACCUCUGGUGUAUGAGGCCCCUUCAGGACAAUCUCUCUGUACAGGGAGAAAAGAAACAUCUCACAAGACAGCUCAUUGAGUGUUCUGGACUGAAUUUCUGAGGCCUGUCCAUCCUUGGGUGGUCCUGAAAACUAGCUGAGAUUUGAGGUAAUUUUCAUGCUUCCACAGGGAAGUGUUUCCCAGGCUUCAACCAUUCAACAUCCUAGACUUGCACCAUAUCCUUAUGUUACCUGACACUCAUUUGCUUAAUAUUUUCU